rnacentral:tRNA from 1 species
UGGCUCAGUGGUAGAGUGCUUGCCUAGCAUGCAUGAGGCCUUGGGUUCAAUUCCUAA